ACGGUUCGAUGAAAAAAUACACCCGUACGCAUCUGCUCCUCUCCUCGAUCCUCACCUUUACCCAGGCCGAUCUAUUCCCCCUCGCCGCCGCCACACCCCAGCCCCCUCGCCGGCGCGGCCGCACCUCAGCCCGCUUGCCGCCCCCGUCGCAACCCAACCCUUCCUCCCCUCCAAUGGAUGCUGCCCCAACCACCUCAUCCAAUAGGAAGCCCCAGUUUGGCAGCCUCUGUUCCCGCCCUUCAGCGGCCACCUCGCCGCUCCUCCAACGCCCAGCACGUCCUUAUCCAACGCCCGAUUGAAUUGUUGCUGCCAAGAUCUGCCUCAAUGUGGUUUGCAUCAUUGCGGCGACGACAUCGUCGAUCUUCGACUCCGGCGGCUACAUCCAGAAGGACUACCACAAUUCUCGCGGCUGAUGGCUGUGGAAAUCUGGAAAAUUUGCCUUUUCUACCAAGAUGAGAAUCAACAACAUAAAGUUCUAGAAGGAUUCAUGGACAGAAAAGAUAUCUCCUUUUAUGAGUUAAUCAAAUUGAUUGAAUAAGUUGGCUUCUCGCCGGCAUAUGGUUUCUUGUACUACAGGAAGAAAUACCCGUGUGGCUGAUGCUAUUCUGACAUUGCUUCUGACCAUGAAAUACUUUGUGUUCAGUCUUCCCCUGAAAGUUAGCAUAGGAAUACAUAAUGUUUCUUCAGAAUGACAGAGCACCAAAUCGAGGCAGUAGGUUGCCAUCGAAUCCACAGAAUAAAACUGACUUGUGGAUGUGAUUAAUCACUUACCAAAGUACAAGUUCAUUCUCUGAUGAAAAAGGUCAGUGUUUGGGGCGCACUGCGUAGCAAGGAUAUGUUGUAGGCUAUAUAGCUCUUCUGUGGACUGUGAGAGGUUGGGGUUCUCAUGCUUGCUUGGUCGGAACCUUUUCUUUUGAGUCGAUUGAUGGACGAUGGGCAUGAGGGCAUCUCUGCACUAACUACGCUGUAUGUGUACUCCACUACAUACAGAUAGCUCGCUCGUCGUAUCUCGACAGAAGAAGAACAACUUUGAUCGAUGGAGAUGGAUUUCUUUCCUGUUGUUGCAAUUGUAUGUGCCUUGCCGACUAAACUAUCUUCUUUCUUAUUUACUGUCAGGUAGCUCUUUCAAAGAUAGCUCGCUCGUCGUAUCUUGAUAGAAGAAGAACAACUUUGAUUGAUGGAGAUGGAUUUCUUUCUUGUUGGUGCGAUUCAGGGAAGCUAUUUGUGGUGUAAUAUGCAGCUAAAGGUAUUCCAGCAUGAGCUUCCAUGCACAACAUCAGUGCUUAAAGUAAAGGCUUCAGGACUUAAAAGUAAAGUACACCCAUGGCUUAACUUAGUUUCCUUUUCUUAUAGAUAACUUGAUUCUCUUGUUACAGAUAACUUGAUUCUCUGCUCACAACCAACUGCAGCAAGAAAUAAUUUCACAUGUAGCCUUUUCCUUUUCACUGCUUUGACAACAUUAUUUUUUGAGAACUGACAACAUUUUAACAUGGUAUCACCCAUUGCAACACAUUGUAAUUAUGCAGCCACAGAUCGCGCCAAAGCAUAGCCAGCCUUGGUCCAAGGAGAUAGAGAAGUACUAACAAGGUGGCUCGUUCGCAAGUUGGAGCCGUCCAUGAGCUCACUGCUCUUGGUCGCUCACAGCAAAGAACUGCAUGUUGGCUGGGGUCUUGCCCAUGUAAUAUCUUCAGUACUGUAAUGGCAGAUUGUACUUACCUUUUUUUUGUAAAUUUUUUUGGUGUUUAGGCCAUGCUUAUUGGGCCAAGAGGUAGACCCCGUAUAAUGCCGACCCGCUAAAUGCAUUUGCAGUUUGCGGAAAUAUGGCUUUGCGGGCCGGUGUGGGGGCUGAAUAUCCUUUUUUACAGGUCCGCUUUGCGCUGGCCGGCGAAUCCUCUGCGAAUCCUCUUUUACGGGUCCGCUUCGUGGGGUUUGCUCGGCCGCCCCCCGCGCCGGCCCGUAAAUCAGUAAUUUGCAUUUCAAUUUCGGGUAUGAAAAAACAUUUCUUCUUCCCAAUACCAAAAUGAGCAUCCACCUUCUUGCACACAUGUCCAUCUCAAUAAACCUCAAUAAACUACCGAAAUUGAACUGAAUAGGUUGACAAAGUCGAAUGAAAACAAGAACAUAUCCCGUCGUUUUUGCAUUUGAAGAAUACCCAUCUGGGGUGUUGCAGCAUUGCUAGAUGUUAGCUACAACACUGUCUGGGCAAGGGGGAGAACCUGCAUUUUUGCGGGUUGGGGUGGGAAUUUUGCCUCGUCCUGCAAAAAUAUUUACAGGUCCGACGCGUUUGCGGGGUCUGAUCGGACAGCUUUUUUUGCGCAGACCCAUAUUUUGACGGUUAUUUUGCAAGUUGGGGCAUUAUACGGGGUCUGCUAGAGAUGCUCUAAGGAGAUAUAUGAUUAUAUUUUCUCCCGUUGCAAUGCACGAGCCCUUUUCCUAGUAAUAAUAAUGUGUUUAAUAACAACCCCGGUUCGAUGAUGAGAUAAGUUGGUUGUGAUCGCCGGAAAGAUCACCGUUUGAGACCAAGUGCUGGUCAUGGUUGUGAUCGCUAGAAAGAUCACCGUUUGAGACCAAGUGUUGGUCAUGGUUGUGAUCGCUGGAAAGAUCACCGUUUGAUUACGAGGUAACCUGAACAGAAUAAGUGGUGCAUAUAAUGUCAUCAUGUUGCAUGAUAGUGUCCUCAUGUUUAUAUGUUCAUGCCAUGCUCAUA